AGGAUGAACGCUGGCGGCGUGCUUAACACAUGCAAGUCGAACGAUGAAGGCUGGAGCUUGCUCUGGCUGGAUUAGUGGCGAACGGGUGAGUAACACGUGAGUAACCUGCCCCAGACUCUGGGAUAAGCGCUGGAAACGGCGCCUAAUACCGGAUACGAGCUUCCACCGCAUGGUGAGGAGCUGGAAAGAAUUUCGGUCUGGGAUGGACUCGCGGCCUAUCAGCUUGUUGGUGAGGUAAUGGCUCACCAAGGCGACGACGGGGUAGCCGGCCUGAGAGGGUGACCGGCCACACUGGGACUGAGACACGGCCCAGACUCCUACGGGAGCAGCAGUGGGAUAUGCACAAUGGGCGCAAGCCUGAUGCAGCAACGCCGCGUGAGGACGAAGGCCUUGGUGUAACUCUUUAGAGGUAGAAGCGAGUGUUAUUCACUUCAUGACGGUACCUGCAGAAAAGCACCGGACUAACUACGUAGCCAGACCG
rnacentral:rRNA from 1 species